rnacentral:lncRNA from 1 species
GGGAAUAGAUAGCACACUUAUAUAAUGUGUUAGAUGGACAUUGGAGAUUACAAUGCUAUACUAAGUUUUGAGGAUAGAUAUAAUGGCAACCCAAUUAUAGAAGGAGAAACUAGGGACUUUAAAUCUUUUUGCAAGACACAAGAAUGACAGAGCUUAAAACAGUUGGCGGAGAAUUUACUUGGACAAACAACAUGUACAUAGCAGAAUAGAUAGAGCUUUAGUAAAUGCUAGAUGGAUGAUUGACAUGACACAUUUGAGGUGGUACUUCAUGAUCCUUUCUUCUCUGAUCAUACUCCAAUAUGCUUGUACUUUGAAAAAGACCAACAACCACCUUCAAAACCUUUCAAAUUCUUCAAUAGCCUAGCACAUCAUAAGGAUUUCCAAGCCUAGUCAAGGAAACAUGGGAAUUUAACAUGCAGAUAUCUGUUAUGCAAAGAAUUUAGAAGAAGCUGAAGUUGUGAAACAAGUAUUGAAGAAGUUAAAUGUUGAAGAGUACAGUAGAAUACCUGAAAAGUUUCAAGCUGCUAGAGACAAACUGCAAAAAUUACAAAUGGAAAUGAGAACACCAUAACUCAGAGGAAUUAAAAGAGCACUGAAAAAGAUUCAGAAGCCAAACUGGAGAAAUGAGUAAUGGUGGAGGAAAGUAUCCGCAAGAGAAGUCAAGAAUUUAGUAGUUAAAGCUAGGUAAUUCAAACUCAGCUUUCUUCCAUGCAAGUAUCAAGAAUAGAAAUACUCAAAAGAAGAUCAAUAGACUUCUCACCCAGACAGGAACAUAUACUCAAACUUAGGAAGAGGUGCAAAAAAGAUAACUCAGUUCUAUAAGUAGCUUCCAGGAUCAUAAGUAAAGGUAAUUCCAGCUAUAGAACCUGAGGUAUUGAAGAGGGAAAAUGUGAUGAUAAGAAGCCAACAGUUGAAGCUAAUAGCACAUGUUUCAAAAGAACAUGUCUUCUAGGCUUUGCAAAGUAUAGAUGUCUCUAAAGACCCAGAGUGUGAUGGUUAUAAUGCACUGAUCUUUAAUAAGGUAUGGGAAAAUAUAGGGGAGGAGCUAGUAGGUAUGACAAGAGGGGCUGUUCUGAUGGUAAGCAACCCCCACUUCCAACCGAGAGGUUGUGAGUUCGAGUCUCCCCAAGAGCAAGGUGGGAAGUUCUUGGAGGGAAGGAUGCCGGGGGUCAAUUUGGAAACAAACUCUCUACCCAAAGGUAGGGGUAAAGUCUGCUACAUACUACCCUCCCCAGACCCCACUACGUGAGAUUAUACUGGAUUGUUGUUGUUGUUGUUGUUGUUGUUGUUAUUGAGCUAGUAGAGGUUGUUCAAGAGUUCUUCAAAACGUACUAGCUACAUAAGCCUAUUAAUUAUAGUGCAGUGACAUUGAUACCAACAGUACAAAAUCCUUCAAAAGUAUCUGAGUGCAGACCAAUAUCCUGCUACACCACCAUAUAUAAGGUCAUAUCCAAAAUUAUCAUUAGCAGAGAACAAGAGGUAAUGCAUUAUUUGGUAGAUGAUGGCCAGCUAACUUUUGUACCUGCCAGAGUGAUAUUAGUUACUAAGUCAUGAACUUGUUAAAGGGUAUAAUAGGAAGUCUAUUUCACCAAAAUAUUGUAUGAAGAAUGAUAUGAGGAAUGCCUAUGACUUCUUGGAGUGGUUCUUUCUAGAAUAAAUUCUAAUGCUAAAUUUUCCUGAGAUAUUCAUCCAUUGAGUCAUGAAGUGUGUAAUAACAAUAUCCUAUUCUAUUCUCAUUAAUGGUAAUCCUAUAAUGCCAUUCCAGCAAAAAAAGGACUCAGACAGGGAGACCCUAUGUCUCCCUUCUUAUUUGUACUUGACAUGGAAUACUUUACAACAGUUCUAAAAGGGCUGAAGGAUAGCAAGGAGUUUAGAUACGAAUAUGCAAAGUUGAAUAUAAUACAACUUGGGCUUGCAGGUGAUCUUCUACUGUUUUGCAGAGGUGAUAUGCCUUCAGUCAAAGCUUUGUAUGUGUGUUUGAAGUUGUUCUCAAGGGCUUCAGGUCUGGAGGAAAAUAUGGAUACAAGAAGUGUAUAUUUUGGUGGAGUCAACCAGAAUCUGCAGUUUGAAAUUCUUGACCAUCUAGGAUUUAUAAAUGGGGAACUUCCUAUAAGAUAUCUAGGGGUUCCUCUUAGCACAAAAAGGUUGUCCAUAAUCCAAUGCAAGUUUCUCAUUGACAAGAUGAUAGACAGAGUUACAACCUGGACUUCAAAGCUGUUGUUUUAUGCAGGGAGAGUACAACUAAUUAAAAAUGUCCUUUUCUAUACAGACAUUUUGGUCCCAAAAUUUUGCUCUACCAAAGAAGCUGAUUCAAAUAAUUGGAAGUGUAUGCAAAAGGUUUCUAUGGACAAGUGGAGUGGAAGUCUCAAAAAGGGCACUGAUUGCUUGGGAUAAGCUUUGCAUUCUAAAAGUAGCUGGUGGUCUCAAUAUAAUAGAUAUUCAAUCCUAGAACAUUGGAAUAAAUGCAAGUUACAUUGGAAUAUAUGCACCAAGAAAAAUAAGCUAUGAGUGAAGUGGAUACAUUGUUAUUAUGGGAAAAGAACUACUUUGUGAAUGAACUAACCUAAGCAAGCAUAUUGGAUUAUCUAGAAGAUCCUAAAAGUAGCUAAAUACCUAGAAAAAGUGGGCAUACAGGAGAGGGAGUUUGGUCAAAUAAGAAACUUCUCCCUUAAAUGCUCUUGGAGAAGACUGGUAUGUAACAAGUAUUGUCUCCUAGAUGAGUGUUUAUAUUGUAUCUAAACUUACAAGGAAGACUGCAAACCAGGGAUAGAAUAGGCAAAUGGAGCCAAAUUGAAGAUAUGACAUGUCCACUGUGUGCAAGCAAGCCUGAAAUAAAUGAUCAUCUGUUCUUUAAAUGUGCAGCGAUAUCGCAAAUUGAAAUGGCAGGGAAUCACAAGGAGGUCUCAGGGAUGGUCUGAAGAAGUCCACUAGACAGAAGUUUAUGCAAAUGGUCAUUCAGCAAUAUAUGUCGUCUGCGUAUGUUUAUCAUAUAUGGAUGGAAAUGAAUUUGAGGGUAUUCUAAGGAAAGGUCAGGCAAAUGGAGAGUAUUGUACGAGUGAUAGAACAUGAGGUCCAUAGUCGUGGAUAUAUGAACGUGAAGUUAGAUAUGAAAUGGUAC